rnacentral:rRNA from 1 species
CACGUAGGCACCAAGCGUUGUCCGGAUUUAUUGGGCGUAAAGAGCUCGUAGGCGGUUCAGUAAGUCGGGUGUGAAAACUUUGGGCUUAACCCAAAGCGUGCAUCCGAUACUGCUGUGACUUGAGUUCGGUAGGGGAGUGGGGAAUUCCUAGUGUAGCGGUGAAAUGCGCAGAUAUUAGGAGGAACACCGGUGGCGAAGGCGCCACUCUG